GGGGGAAGGAAUUUGUUUACAUAACUAGCGUAUCAGUAAUAAUAAAACGCUAAAUUAAUAAAAUUAUUGGACUUCUGUACUAUUUAACUGGAAUGACCGUUUAAUAAAAUUUCUUUGUAUGAGAUGGAAAAUCGCUCUCUAGCUCUAAGGCAUGUCUCUGAAGCCUUGCAGUUGGAUAGUAAUGGUUUCCAUCAAGCUGCAUUUGCUAAAUAUUUACAGAGUCUCCACAUUCUGACUACAUAUUUAAAUGAUUUAUUCAUUGCCUUAGGUAAGUAUUAAAUCAGUAAUUCACUUUCAGAUUUGAGAAGACAGUAGCUAUGUUAUUUUGUGUGUAUUUAGAAAUGUUUCAAGUCUGAAAUUAUUUUGCUGUGUGGUCCAUUCAUGUUGUAAUAAUACUAAACCUGCUGGCUUUGUUUUUUCACCAUAUGAAGAAAUUUUGGCUAAUCUUUGGAAUAUGGUAACGGGUAGUUUGGCGACAUU